ensembl:misc_RNA 7SK 7SK RNA
GGAUGUGAGGGCAAUUGGCUGUGACAUCUGUCAACCCAUUGAUCGACAGAGUUGACUCAGCUGAUUUAGCUGGCAGAUAGUCCCAUCCUCCAUGUAUGUCCCUUCCUCUCACAGGUGGGGAACAAUCUUUGAUCAAGGCUAUGAGCAGUUGCACUCACAGGCUAGAACCUCCAGACAAGCUUCUGGUUUGUGAGUCACCAUGUUGGUGCUUGGAAUUGAACCCAGAUCCACUGGAAAAGCAGCCAGUAUUAUUAAUUGUUGAGUCAUCCCU